rnacentral:rRNA from 1 species
AUUGAACGCUGGCGGCAGGCCUAACACAUGCAAGUCGAGCGGAUGAAGGGAGCUUGCUCCUGGAUUCAGCGGCGGACGGGUGAGUAAUGCCUAGGAAUCUGCCUGGUAGUGGGGGAUAACGUCCGGAAACGGGCGCUAAUACCGCAUACGUCCUGAGGGAGAAAGUGGGGGAUCUUCGGACCUCACGCUAUCAGAUGAGCCUAGGUCGGAUUAGCUAGUUGGUGGGGUAAAGGCCUACCAAGGCGACGAUCCGUAACUGGUCUGAGAGGAUGAUCAGUCACACUGGAACGGAGACACGGUCCAGACCCCUACGGGGGGCAGCAGGGGGGAAUUUUGGAAAAUGGGGGAAAGCCUGAUCCAGCCAUGCCGGGUGUGUGAAGAAGGUCUUGGGAUUGUAAAGCACUUUAAGUUGGGAGGAAGGGAAGUAAGUUAAUCCCUUGCUUUUUUGACGUUACCAACGGAAUAAGCACCGGCUAACUUCGU